CCCUGUUGAACGAGCAGACCCUGAAUGCAGCACAGCGUGAAAGGAGAAGUCGGAUGCAGGAGGAACUAUAAACGGCAGAAGUUCGUCCAACAAUUCAACACUUCAUCGUCUUCGGCUCUCAUCGCAGGAUUUUAAGGACUUCUUCACAAAGGAAACAGAUCCUCAGCAGUCAUGGGUGUCGAGGGAGGAAUGAAAUGUGUCAAGUUCCUGCUUUUCUUUUUCAACUU